rnacentral:rRNA from 1 species
AAUAGAUACCCUGGUAGUCCAUGCCGUAAACGUUGGGCACUAGGUGUGGGGCUCAUUCCACGAGUUCCGUGCCGCAGCAAACGCAUUAAGUGCCCCGCCUGGGGAGUACGGCCGCAAGGCUAAAACUCAAAGGAAUUGACGGGGGCCCGCACAAGCGGCGGAGCAUGCGGAUUAAUUCGAUGCAACGCGAAGAACCUUACCAAGGCUUGACAUGCACGGGAAGCCACCAGAGAUGGUGGUCUCUUUGGACACUCGUGCACAGGUGGUGCAUGGUUGUCGUCAGCUCGUGUCGUGAGAUGUUGGGUUAAGUCCCGCAACGAGCGCAACCCUCGUCCCAUGUUGCCAGCGGGUUAUGCCGGGGACUCAUGGGAGACUGCCGGGGUCAACUCGGAGGAAGGUGGGGAUGACGUCAAAUCAUCAUGCCCCUUAUGUCUUGGGCUUCACGCAUGCUACAAUGGCCGGUACAAAGGGCUGCGAUGCCGUAAGGUGGAGCGAAUCCCAAAAAGCCGGUCUCAGUUCGGAGUU